rnacentral:rRNA from 1 species
GAUGAACGCUGGCGGCGUGCCUAAUACAUGCAAGUCGAGCGAACAGACGAGGAGCUUGCUCCUCUGACGUUAGCGGCGGACGGGUGAGUAACACGUGGGUAACCUACCUAUAAGACUGGGAUAACUUCGGGAAACCGGAGCUAAUACCGGAUAAUAUAUUGAACCGCAUGGUUCGAUAGUGAAAGAUGGUUUUGCUAUCACUUAUAGAUGGAUCUGCGCCGCAUUAGCUAGUUGGUAAGGUAACGGCUUACCAAGGCAACGAUGCGUAGCCGACCUGAGAGGGUGAUCGGCCACACUGGAACUGAGACACGGUCCAGACUCCUACGGGAGGCAGCAGUAGGGAAUCUUCCGCAAUGGGCGAAAGCCUGACGGAGCAACGCCGCGUGAGUGAUGAAGGUCUUCGGAUCGUAAAACUCUGUUAUUAGGGAAGAACAAACGUGUAAGUAACUGUGCACGUCUUGACGGUACCUAAUCAGAAAGCCACGGCUAACUACGUG